rnacentral:rRNA from 1 species
UACGGGGGGAGCAAGCGUUGUUCGGAUUUACUGGGCGUAAAGGGCGCGUAGGCGGCCUUCUAAGUCGGACGUGAAAUCCCUCGGCUUAACCGAGGAACUGCGUCCGAUACUGAAAGGCUUGAAUCCGGGAGAGGGAUGUGGAAUUCCAGGUGUAGCGGUGAAAUGCGUAGAUAUCUGGAGGAACACCGGUGGCGAAGGCGGCAUCCUGGACCGGUAUUGACGCUGAGGCGCGAAAGCUAGGGGAGCAAACGGG